UGGGGAAUUUUGCGCAAUGGGCGAAAGCCUGACGCAGUAACGCCGCGUGGAGGAUGAAGGCCUUCGGGUUGUAAACUCCUGUCAGGGGGAACGACGGAGUAAGGGUGAUAAGCCCUUUCCUCCAGACGGUACCUCCAAAGGAAGCCCCGGCUAAUUCCGUGCCAGCAGCCGCGGUAAUACGGAAGGGGCGAGCGUUGUUCGGAAUCAUUGGGCGUAAAGGGCGCGUAGGUGGUUCUGUAUGUCUACCGUGAAAGCGUACGGCUCAACCGUAUUUUGUCGGUAGAAACUGCAGGACUUGAGGCUGGGAGGGGCUGGCGGAAUUCCCUGUGUAGCGGUGAAAUGCGUAGAGAUGGGGGAGAACACUCGUGGCGAAGGCGGCCAGCUAGACCAGUUCUGACACUGAGGCGCGACAGCGUGGGGAGCAAACA
rnacentral:rRNA from 1 species